rnacentral:tRNA from 1 species
GCAGUCGUGGCCGAAAUCCAUUGGGGUCUCCCCGCACAGGUUCGAAUCCUGUCGACUGCG